GACGAACGCUGGCGGCGUGCUUAACACAUGCAAGUCGAACGGAAAGGCCCUGCUUGCAGGGUACUCGAGUGGCGAACGGGUGAGUAACACGUGGGUGAUCUGCCCUGCACUUCGGGAUAAGCCUGGGAAACUGGGUCUAAUACCGGAUAGGAGCCAUUUUUAGUGUGAUGGUUGGAAAGUUUUUUCGGUGUAGGAUGAGCUCGCGGCCUAUCAGCUUGUUGGUGGGGUAAUGUCCUACCAAGGCGGCGACGGGUAGCCGGCCUGUGAGGGUGGACGGCCACAUUGGGUCUGACAGACGGCCCAGACUCCGACGGGAGGCAGCAGGGGGGAAGAUUGCACAAUGGGCGCAAGCCGGAUGCAGCGACGCCGCGGGGGGGAGGACGGCCUUCGGGUUGGAAACUCCUUUCGCUAGGGACGAAGCUCUUUGUGACGGUACCUAGAUAAGAAGCACCGGCUAACUACGUG
rnacentral:rRNA from 1 species